rnacentral:rRNA from 1 species
AUUGAACGCUGGCGGCAUGCCUUACACAUGCAAGUCGAACGGUAACAGGUCUUCGGAUGCUGACGAGUGGCGAACGGGUGAGUAAUACAUCGGAACGUGCCUAGUAGUGGGGGAUAACUACUCGAAAGAGUGGCUAAUACCGCAUGAGAUCUACGGAUGAAAGCAGGGGAUCGCAAGACCUUGUGCUACUAGAGCGGCCGAUGGCAGAUUAGGUAGUUGGUGGGAUAAAAGCUUACCAAGCCGACGAUCUGUAGCUGGUCUGAGAGGACGAUCAGCCACACUAGGACUGGGACACGGCCCAGACUCCUACGGGAGGCAGCAGUGGGGAAUUUUGGACAAUGGGCGCAAGCCUGAUCCAGCAAUGCCGCGCGCAGGAUGAAGGCCUUCGGGUUGUAAACUGCUUUUGUACGGAACGAAAAGCCCUGGGUUAAUACCCUGGGGUCAUGACGGUACCGUAAGAAUAAGCACCGGCUAACUACGUGCCAGCCGCCGCAGUAA